CUACGGGUGGCUGCAGUGGGGAAUAUUGGACAAUGGGGGAAACCCUGAUCCAGCAAUGCCGCGUGUGUGAAGAAGGCCUGCGGGUUGUAAAGCACUUUCGGUUGGGAGGACUGCUUCUAGCACUAAUAUUGUUGGAAGUUGACGUUACCUUCAGAAGAAGCACCGGCUAACUCCGUGCCAGCAGCCGCGGUAAUACGGGGGGUGCAAGCGUUAAUCGGAAUUACUGGGCGUAAAGCGCGCGUAGGCGGCUAGAUCAGUCGGGUGUGAAAGCCCCGGGCUUAACCUGGGAACUGCAUCCGAUACUGUCUAGCUUGAGUACAGGAGAGGAGAGUGGAAUUCCGCAUGUAGCGGUGAAAUGCGUAGAUAUGUGGAGGAACACCAAUGGCGAAGGCAGCUCUCUGGCCUGAUACUGACGCUGAGGUGCGAAAGCGUGGGGAGCAAACAGGAUUAGAUACCCCCGUAGUC
rnacentral:rRNA from 1 species